UGGAAGUAAAAGUCGUAACAAGGUCUCCGUUGGUGAACCAGCGGAGGGAUCAUUACCGAGUUUACAACUCCCAAACCCCUGUGAACAUACCUUUAUGUUGCCUCGGCGGAUCAGCCCGUUCCUCGGAACGGCCCGCCGCAGGACCCUAAACUCUGUUUUUAGUGGAACUUCUGAGUAAAAAAACAAAUAAAUCAAAACUUUCAACAACGGAUCUCUUGGUUCUGGCAUCGAUGAAGAACGCAGCAAAAUGCGAUAAGUAAUGUGAAUUGCAGAAUUCAGUGAAUCAUCGAAUCUUUGAACGCACAUUGCGCCCGCCAGUAUUCUGGCGGGCAUGCCUGUUCGAGCGUCAUUUCAACCCUCAAGCCCAGCUUGGUGUUGGGAGCUGUCGUCUGACACUCCCCAAAUACAUUGGCGGUCACGUCGAGCUUCCAUAGCGUAGUAAUUUACACAUCGUUACUGGUAAUCGUCGCGGCCASGCCGUUAAACCCCAACUUCUGAAUGUUGACCUCGGAUCAGGUAGGAAUACCCGCUGAACUUAAGCAUAUCAUUNAAAGCGGAGGAA
rnacentral:rRNA from 1 species